UACAGAGGUCCCAAGCGUUGUUCGGAUUCACUGGGCGUAAAGGGUGCGUAGGUGGUUAGGUAAGUCCGAUGUGAAAUCUCCAGGCUCAACCUGGAAAUGGCAUUGGAUACUAUUUAGCUUGAGGAGUGGAGGGGGGACUGGAAUUCUCGGUGUAGCAGUGAAAUGCGUAGAUAUCGAGAGGAACACCAGUGGCGAAGGCGAGUCCCUGGACACUUCCUGACACUGAGGCGCGAAAGCUAGGGGAGCAAACAGG
rnacentral:rRNA from 1 species